GACGAACGCUGGCGGCGUGCUUAACACAUGCAAGUCGAACGGUAAGGCCCUUUCGGGGGUCCACGAGUGGCGAACGGGUGAGUAACACGUGGGUGAUCUGCCCUGCACUUUGGGAUAAGCCUGGGAAACUGGGUCUAAUACCGGAUAGGACUACGCGAUGCAUGUCGUGUGGUGGAAAGCUUUUGCGGUGUGGGAUGGGCCCGCGGCCUAUCAGCUUGUUGGUGGGGUGAUGGCCUACUAAGGCGACGACGGGUAGCCGGCCUGAGAGGGUGUCCGGCCACACUGGGACUGAGAUACGGCCCAGACUCCUACGGGAGGCAGCAGUGGGGAAUAUUGCACAAUGGGCGCAAGCCUGAUGCAGCGACGCCGCGUGGGGGAUGACGGCCUUCGGGUUGUAAACCCCUUUCAGCACAGACGAAGCGUAAGUGACGGUAUGUGCAGAAGAAGCACCGGCCAACUACGUG
rnacentral:rRNA from 1 species